CAGUAGCCGCGGGAAUACGGAGGGGGCUAGCGUUGUUCGGAAUUACUGGGCGUAAAGCGCACGUAGGCGGCUUUGUAAGUUAGAGGUGAAAGCCCGGAGCUCAACUCCGGAAUUGCCUUUAAGACUGCAUCGCUAGAACGUCGGAGAGGUGAGUGGAAUUCCGAGUGUAGAGGUGAAAUUCGUAGAUAUUCGGAAGAACACCAGUGGCGAAGGCGACUCACUGGACGACUGUUGACGCUGAGGUGCGAAAGCGUGGGGAGCAAACAGGAUUAGAGACCCGAGUAGUCCCUGUCUCUUAUAC
rnacentral:rRNA from 1 species